UUUUAUUCUGGCCCCACGGAGGUGCCUACCAGGGUAUUUGAUGCGUAAGAUCCUCCCCAGCCCUCCUCUACAGGGAUGGAAUUGGGGGUAUGAUUUGAAUGUAAGAAAUACGACUUAAGGCCGGGCACGGUGGCUCACACCUGUAAUCCCAGCACUUUGGGAGGCCAAGGCAGGCAAAUCAUCUGAGGUCAGGAGUUUGAGACCAGCCUGGCCAACAUGGUGAAACCCUGUCUCUACGAAAAAUACAAAAUUAGCAUGGCAUGGUGGAGCGCGCCUUUAAUCCCAGGUACUCAGGAGGCUGAGGCAGGAGAAUCGCUUGAACCCAGGUGGCGGAGGUUACAGUGAGCCCAGACCAUGACAUUGCACUCCAGCCUUGGCAACAAGAGCGAAACUCCAUCU
rnacentral:lncRNA from 1 species